rnacentral:rRNA from 1 species
GACGAACGCUGGCGGCGUGCUUAACACAUGCAAGUCGAACGGAAAGGCCCUGCUUUUGUGGGGUGCUCGAGUGGCGAACGGGUGAGUAACACGUGAGUAACCUGCCCUUGACUUUGGGAUAACUUCAGGAAACUGGGGCUAAUACCGGAUAGGAGCUCUUGCUGCAUGGUGGGGGUUGGAAAGUUUCGGCGGUUGGGGAUGGACUCGCGGCUUAUCAGCUUGUUGGUGGGGUAGUGGCUUACCAAGGCUUUGACGGGUAGCCGGCCUGAGAGGGUGACCAGCCACAUUGGGACUGAGAUACGGCCCAGACUCCUACGGGAGGCAGCAGUGGGGAAUAUUGCACAAUGGGCGGAAGCCUGAUGCAGCAACGCCGCGUGCGGGAUGACGGCCUUCGGGUUGUAAACCGCUUUCGCCUGUGACGAAGCGUGAGUGACGGUAAUGGGUAAAGAAGCACCGGCUAACUACGUG